rnacentral:lncRNA from 1 species
GUGUGCUCCCCCUGUGUGUGCUCCCGCUGUGUGCUCCCCCUGUGUGUGCUCCCCUGUGUAUGCUCCCCCCUUGUAUGCUCCCCGUGUGUGCUCCCGGUGUGUGUGCUCCCGCUGUGUGCUCCCCCUGUGUGUGAUCCCCUGUGUAUGCUCCCCCCUUGUGUGCUCCCCGUGUGUGCUCCCGGUGUGUGUGCUCCCGGUGUGUGUGCUCCCCCUGUGUGUGCUCCCCCUGUGUGUGCUCCAUUUGUGGCUCAUCAUGACCACCUUAUGAAGUUAGAAAUGUUCAUGGAGUAGACUUUGCAGAUGGGCAAACUGACUCUGGAGAGGUUGAAAUGAUUUACUUGGUGUUUUAGUUUCCUCAUGCUAUACACUACAAGCAAAACAACUUAGAAGCAAAGGGUUUAUUUGAGUUACACUUCCACAUCAUUGUUCAUCAUGAAGGAAGUCAGGGCAGGAACUCAAACAGGGCAGAACCUAGAGGGAGGAGCACCAUGGAGGGGAGCUGCUUACCAGCUUGCUCCUCAUGGCUUGCUCAGCCUGCCUUCUUAUAAGACCCAGGCCCACCUGCUCAGGAGUGGCCCAUCCACAAUGGGCUGGGCCCUUCCCCAUUGAUCACUAAUUAACAAAGCUUUCUACAGGCUUGCCUACAGCCUGGUCUUAUGGAGGCUUUUCUCAACUGAGGCUUCUCCCGGGACUCUAACUAGUGUCAAGUUGACGUAAAACUAGUCCACACACUCAGGGUUGCACACAACAUGGUUGUUGUGGCAGAACCAGGUUCAGAAAUACAUCAUUUGAUGUUCUUUUCCAGGACAUUUCAGUCUCUUAGAUCUUGACUGUGAUUCGAUGGUACACAACAUGGAGGAAGCAGACUGUGAAUAUGCCUGUCACCAACACCCUGGAGCACAUCAAAGAAAAGGAGAACGGAGAGAUCUUAAAUCUGGCCACCUCUCAUUUUUCAUUAGUCACUGCCCUGCUGGUUCCUACUCUACUGAAGAGGCAGAGUUCCUCGGUCUGGAAUUUCUGACAGCUUACUUUUCUUGCUGGAGUUCAUGUUUCUUUGAGUACACAAAGUCCCAGGUAUGCCCACUAGUCACUCUUUCCUGAGACAAUCUUAACUUUUACGUGUCUCCUGAGUUCUGAUGUCCUCUGCUGGUCCAGCUCUCAGUCCAUUGUGUUCCACUCUUGUGUGUGUCGCUUGUGGAACUUAUUCACUCAGGGAAUGAGCCAGGGCUGGGCCUGAGCAUCUAUCUCAGUUUGGUCCUUUUAGCCUAUCUUACUAUGGAAAGCAGGACGCCUGCAGAAUGAGCAACCACAGCACCUGUGCUAACCCAAGAAAGGCACUGAGAUCUCUUCAGAAGCAUGGAGGCACACUUGCUGCACAAAAUCUUCAGAGAACCAGGUAAAAACAGCUGAGCCAUUGUGCGCCAGACCCUAGGCAGAACCUCACAUUCACACAACUGGUUCUCUAGGUUUUCGUGCUGAUAUCACUAAACUACAUUCUUUUUAAAAACUGUUACUUUGUAUAUGGUACUUCCCCUGUAUGCCCUUCAGGAUGCUCUGACCAUAGCCCAAGAGAGGGAAUGACAUCCAAACACCUGAAGCCCUAAGAUACUGCCACCACCCCAAGUCCACUGGUGGAACAAGAUGCCACUACAGAAGAGUAGCCAUCUCUUCAGGCCUCAACUUCUAUAUUCUUGAUUAGGAAAAUGUAGAAAUUGUUCCUCCAGCCCUGCAAGGGCACAGGCUUCCGGGCCAGGACCACUGCUCUCUUCAAUGGAGCAGGUCCCCUGAGUGUUCCUCUUUACCCCAUGCCUGCUCAUUCCCACCACCCAGCUGACUUAACAGACACCCAGAGCACCAUGGGCCGCUCCCCACCAGACAAGCUGCCUCCCUCCUUCCUACUUCCCCAAGCUUCCUAGGCGUGGCUGUGUGCUCUAGAGUUUGGUUAAUGGCUAGGAAUUCCACUUUGCUCUGCUAUUGGCCGCUGAACUGCAGCUGUGGACUAUGAUCUGGAUGGUAUGUGUCCAUAGAACCUUUGAUGGCUUGAAAGCCUUGCCCAGACUACCUGAGUAUGAAUUAAAGAUUCAUACACUUUCCUUUUAAA